CAGCUGAAACCUGGUCAGUCAGGUUUCAGAAUGGUGUAGAGAAAUCGAGAUGGUGACCUCCAACCAGCAUGAUGGGACACGAUGAGGACCUGCCUGGAAAUGCUUCGACUCCACUCAUGUCCUCACUCAACUUCCCAGUGCAAAAGGAGAGAAGGUGAAAAGCAGCAAGAGCGUCCAGCAUUGGUUUCACCGCAGAGAUGAGCCAGGGUACGAAGCAGCGUCACUGGGGCAGGGACAGUGGCCCCAUCCGGCUCCUCCCGCUGGAACCAGGCUCAGUGUCCCAGCCUCCAGAGCUUUGAGCUGUGUCUGGAGCAUCUGGACUUUAUCUCCAUGUACUUGGUGCAUCUGUUAGCAGUGUGCCCUAAGGUAUCAGAAAAGCCUAAGAGAGGUUAUUUUCAGGGGGGUCUGGGGUGGCUC
rnacentral:lncRNA from 12 species